ACGCACGCUUGCGGCGUGCUUAACCCAUGCAAGUCGAACGGAAAGGCCCUGCUUUUGUUGGGUGCUCGAGUGGCGAACGGGUGAGUAACACGUGAGUAACCUGCCCUUGACUUUGGGAUAACUUCAGGAAACUGGGGCUAAUACCGGAUAGGAGCUCCUGCUGCAUGGGGGGGGUUGGAAAGUUUCGGCGGUUGGGGAUGGACUCGCGGCUUAUCAGCUUGUUGGUGGGGUAGUGGCUUACCAAGGCUUUGACGGGUAGCCGGCCUGAGAGGGUGACCGGCCACAUUGGGACUGAGAUACGGCCCAGACUCCUACGGGAGGCAGCAGUGGGGAAUAUUGCACAAUGGGCGGAAGCCUGAUGCAGCAACGCCGCGUGCGGGAUGACGGCCUUCGGGUUGUAAACCGCUUUCGCCUGUGACGAAGCGUGAGUGACGGUAAUGGGUAAAGAAGCACCGGCUAACUACGUG
rnacentral:rRNA from 1 species